GGUGAGUACACAUCAACGUACUCAGCAAAUGUCCUGUUUCUCUGAAGUGGACUAGCUUUAUGAGGGGUUAGGCUCCAGCAGUUGCUUUUAGUUGGUCAGGUAUUUAUUAUUAAUGGAAGCCAUGUUUUAUCAUAUAACCAACCUGUGAACCAUUUCCCCAUCGAGGAAACCUCAUUAUCAUCAUCGAACCGAAAUAAUAAAAAGAACCAUUGUAUCUCGAACCAUCUGUAUCUCUAAUCAAAGAGGAUCCCAAGGCCGCUCUUAACCGUGAGCACGGCUGAUAUAUCAGUUUCAUUCCCUCUGCAGAGGUCGCACACUUUACCCACAAGUCGUGAUUCCCAUUCUGCCCGGAGAUCAUGACUCUCCAUUGAUCACUACCAAGGUGACCUAGCAGGGUCUCACUACGUAGCCUUUACAAAGAUUCCCUAGAGGUCAUAGCCGCCCGUUAGGUUUCUCCAGUUUGAUAAACACAGUACCUCUCCCCGAAGGAGGGUGACUAACAAAAGCAAAACGAAAGAACCUCGGCACCCAGCCUCGGCAGAGCAAGCACUGUGCCUGGACCCCAUUGACGGCACGACGGCGAAGCAACUACACCUCUAGUUACUCUAAUUAAUUAGCUAAGGGCAUCCCAUUUCACCCUCAUGGUUGCACUGUUAUCCCGGGUGGUCUCUCAACGAACAGGUCCUUACGGAGAGGUACUCGGGAAACAGCCCGAGUCCCCUAAAUGCCACAAGUAUAUCAUCAUGUCCAGAAUAAAAUCAUAGUAUCAUCAUUGUAUCUCAUCAUGUUCAUUGAUUAAAGUAAAGCAAUAGCAUGAAGCUAACCAUAGUAACCCAAAAGGUAAUCAAGGACAAGGUAAAUAGAAAGCUAGUCAAUCCUUAGGUUGAUCAUGGUAUGCGGGUUGAUGAAUUAUAAAGUAAAUUGGACAUAAUAGGUCAGAGGACACUUGCCUUCACCAAUCAGAUGCUCAGGGUCUUCAGCCUCGUAGAACUCGAAGAGCUUGAUCACUUGGUCAUUGAAGCCUGACCGUCGAUUCCUCGAAGCUCGGAAACAGAUCGCGAUCUAAUCGCAACGCGAAGCGAAGACAAACAGGAACAAACAAACAAACAUAUUUAUACGCAUAAGAACAUUACACCAUACAAGAUAAAAUGUAAUAAAACAUGCAAUAUGAAAACGGAACGCGUUACUACGGUCACGCGAGGAAAAAGAAACGCGACAGUCGAAGCUACGGUCGAGAAGAUAUCACGUUUACACUAAAUAAAUAUUAACUAUAACAUUUAAUUCGACAUUAUCAAAUAUAAAAAUUAUACACCGUUUAGUUCGAUUAAUCUGCUACACUAACAAAUGUCAGUUAAUUAAGUAAUUUAAUUAAAAUGGGAGAUUCUAAGCGAGACAAAUUUAUGACGUGUGAAACAGCACGACAGCGUGCAAACGUCGCACGGACACAUGCGACAUAGCACGCUGACGACACACGAAAACAGUGCGCGCGACGAGCGCGAACACGCACGAAUCAGCACGCGACCACGAGCACGUCACGCACGAACAACACGCAGACAGCACGUGCACGACGCGCGAAGCAGCACGCUACCGCGCGAGGAACAACACCCGCGACAGACGAGAAUAACUGAACAGGCGACAUGUUUAUACUAAACGAAUGUUAAGUAAAUAGAAAGUAGUUAAGAUAAUAUUUACCAUGUUAAUAUUUAUUAUAAAAGUGAAAAUUGAACAUGACACAUUUAAUCUAGCUGAUAUAUUAAUCUAAUAAAUAUUAGUCGAGCAAACCUUAGGUUGAUUAUCUAAAAUAUAUGAUAAGCGAAAAUAAUUUAUUAUUACACGUAGACGCCACACGACACAAGAAACAAUUCUGCGGCACGCGCACGGCGUGCGACAACGCGUGUGAAUGGCACGCGCGACAUCCACAAAACAACGCGCACGACCGUGCGCGACACGCACGAGUCAACGCGACUAUGCGCGCAAACAGCACGAUGACGCGCAAACGAUGUCGUGCGCCAACAACGAACAAAUAAAUAAUUAGUUAAAAGCAUUUAAGCUGGUGUUAAUCAAGUUAACUAACAUUUAUAUUUAUAAAAGCACCAGUUAAAACUAUAUACUCGUUCUAAAUAAAUUGUUAUUUUAUUAACCCUAGAAUAAACCAAUAAUUAAUUAUACAACUAAAACAUACGACCCGACGACAACGAGCGCCACAUGUGGGAAUAGCGUGCGCGUUCACGCAAACAGCACGCGACCCGCGAAAACGGCGCGACGCACGAACUACUACUAAACUGUGUCGUAUUUAUUCUACACGUAAAUUAAAUGCAACACUUAAGUUGACAUAACCACAAUUAGAGGUAUUUAUUGCAUGCACAGAUAGAAUUAACACUUAGUUCUGAUUGAUUUACUACUCGGUUAAUCAUCGUUUAGUUACGUGGAUUAAUUAACGUGAGCGAUUCUAGACGAAAUAGUUUAUUGCCGCGCGACAUGGCACGCAACACACUAAACAAGGUGCGCGGAACGGCGUACGCGACAGCGCGCGUCGACACGUGUGGACGACACGCACGAUGUGUGCGAACGGCACGCGCUGACUUAAACGUGCCACGCGAACAGUACAGGCGGGUAGUGUGCGGACAACACGCGACAUGAGUGAGCGACGCGUGAUGCGUGAAGCAGAAUGCGAACAUGCGAGAAUCACUAACUAAAUGUUGUUUUUAUACUAAAAAUAAAUUAGUUAAAAUAUGUGAAACAAUGAAACAAUAUUAUUAACACGUCGUUACAAAUCUAAAACAACUGGAACGCGACGAAAUGGAUCUACGACGUAAGAUAUAUUCAAUAUUUACUAGUUCACGUAUUUAAGAUGAGGUAGCGUAUUUUAGUUGGCUAAGCCGAAACCACAAGGAGUACCACAAAAUCGUGGCUGCAACCAAUCCUGCACAACACUUUUUCUACGUGAGUGGUGAGCCAAUUUUAUUAAAGCGCGCGAAUCGCGUCUCGCUCGAACGGCGAGGCGAGAACAGCACAGGCGAGUCGUGCGCGGGUUAAAAACGGUAAAUCAGCUUCAAUGGGGAAAACAAUAUUAAAACCUUAGUUAAAUAAAUAUUUAAUAAAAUACCUAAAACAUGUGAAAUGAUGAAAUAGUAUUAGUAACACGAGGACAACGUCGUUGCAAAUCCAAUGCACUUAAAACAGAUUGAAACGAGUAAUUAAAGCAAAAGGCAUGGAAUAAUUACUUAAUCGCAGAUUACCGAUGAUGUAGUGCAUCUCACUGGUGACGAAGUGGCCGCACAAAGGGUCACAAGAAGCAAGACCACAACAGAUCCCGGAAGGAUGGGAUCAGUGUGGCUAUGGGCAUUUCUCUUCUUUCUUCAGCCAAAAGCACGACCAGGAGAAAGGGGUCAUCCAUGGUUGAUUUGAUUACACGGAGAGAGCACGACCAACAGCUGCAGGGGGAGGGUCUACUCUCCUGCUGCCCUGCUGCACAGAACGGUAGGACGCAGAGUAGCAGGUGGCCAUGGCGAGUGGGGGAGAAGCAUGGCUGUCGGCAAGGGGGCACUUCACCGGAGGAACGCAUGGGCAGGGGCGGUUCCUGGCUGGACGCCAUGGCCACGGCUCGGUAGGGCGCGCGCGCAGCAAGGGGGCCCCGGUCAGCCAAGCUAUAGGGCUCGCGCGCACAGGAGGGCUCAGCCGCGCGCAGGCCUCCUUGCCGCGAUUCGGACAGCGAGGUCCCGGCCGAACUGGGCUCGGGCGCGCGCAGAAAGUGGGGUUGGGAGCGGGUCGGCUAACAGGGGGAAGAAAGUCGGCCGCGCCCAGGGAGCAGUUCCAAUGACGGAGCAACGACGCCAUUAGAGGAGAGCUCGAUCCGUAGAGGAACUCGACGUGCACUGGACUGGGCGGCUCCUUGUGCGCGUCGUGGGGGCUCAACACGAUUGGCGGCAUGCGAGUGGAGAGGGUGGUUGCGAGGAAGAAGGAACCCGACCGGUGGGCCCGGCGGCUGGGCAGGGGUACCAUGCGGCGGCUAGGGUUUGGGGGGCGUCGGCGCCGGGAUGGGCCAGGGGAGGGCGCUGGGCCGCGCGGUUGGGGGGCGCCGAGUGGGCCUUGGGGCAGGCCGGCCAGGGGGGCUGGGAAGGCUUUCCUUUUUUUGUUAUUUCUUUCUCUUCCUUUUUUAUUCUUCUUCAAAUCUAAAUAUAGUUUUUGAAUCGAAGAUUCAAAUAUUUAAUGAGAUUGAGUUGAUGCCCAAACACAAUAAUUCGACACGAAAAUAUGCCUCGGCAUGCCAUGCAACAAUCAAGGACCCUCUUAGGGUUUUAUUUUACGAGGAUUAUGCCGGUAUAAAACAAAAAUAAUUCUCCAUUUUUGGGAAAAGAUAAGGAAAACCGAGAAAUGAGAGAGUAACAACCUGAAUUUGGUGGACAUUAGAAAAGAAAUUUUAUACCCCUAAAUUCAGGGUGUUACAAAUCUAACCCCCUUAACAGAAUCUCGCCCCCGAGAUUCAAGAAGAGGCUAGCAAGAGCGACAAGGUUGGUUCAUAGGAUGUCCACGACUUUCAUGAGUUGACUUUGAGUCUGCAAGCUUAACUUGUGGACUGGUUGCUUUGAACUUCAGAUGCUCGAGACCAACUGAUGCAAUUCUUGAGGAUCUUCUGGACCUGUGGGUUAGGACCCACACACGCUUUCGCUGCGCCACUCUGAUCUUGUUGGUUGAUGUUGAUCGCAUUAUCUUCAUUGGGGUUAGCGGCUAACCCCCUUAACAGGAGCGUUGAUAUGCACUUGGUGAAGAUGUUGCCGACUCUGAUCUUGACUGAUUUGGAGGGGUUGGAGGUUGCCAAAUGGACAGGUGCAAGAGGAAAGAAUAGCGAGAAAAGGUAAGUAUAGACGGAUUCGAGAGAGAGAGAGCAGGGGAAGAACCCAACUACUUAACUCUAUGACACUCACCUAGUAAACAGAUGUCGUUGCGGGCCAAAGGCCACAACGCAUCAACAUUCAUCACAAAGAAGCAAAUCAGUCAUAACACAAAGACAAACAGCAUGAGCACACAACAACAAGCAUCUCAUUGCUACACGUUAAUGUUAACUAGAUGGUGGUCUUUCCUUACCAAGGGGAAACUACUCUAAAGCCAUCAAAAGGAAAGGGGAAUGAUAAGACAUGCAGGAUAGGGGCCUAAGCAUAAUAAAGGAUGGAGCUAAAGCAAAUAUUGUAACCGACGAGGGAGAGAAUGCUACCAAGGUCAAGAUAGGUUAAACACCAUUCGCAAAUCGAGAUGGGAAUUGAAAGAUGAUAUUUCAAACGGUAGGCAUAGGAUAAGCAUCAUGGUAAAGAUCGAGGGAUGACAAGGGUUAAGGUGAUAAUGGACAAACACAGAAUAAAGGAUGUAUUUUAGACAAGACUUGCAAUUGCAAGGUGUCAAGGAAGGGGGAGCAGUCAACGAUGAAAUUGAUGAGGCAUUGUCCCCGAACAGGGAUGGCAAUGAGGAGGCUUCAAAGGGUAGGUUCAAUGUAAGCAGGAAGGCUGGGGCAUAGAUAUCAUGAGGGUUUUGAAGAUAAUAAUGGACAAUGAUGUAGGAGAGGAGGUAAAUAGGCAUGAGACAAAGGAUACAAGUACCAUAAAGGAUGGAGUUAAGACAAGACCUGCAAAUGGAAAAGGAGAGGGUACAUCCAAGGGCCAAAUAGGUAAACUGCCACUCUCAAAUUGGGGUGGAAGAGAGGAGAUUUUUUUUAAAAGAGCAAGAAUAAAGAUAAGUAUCAAGGCAAGAUCGAUGGAUGACAAGAUAAUGGUGAUAGCAAAUAAAAACUCAGCAAAGGAUGAAAUUAAGACAAAACUUGCAAGUGACAAAGAAAAGUAUACGACCAAGGGAAAAGUAGGUACAGUACAAUGUUCAGAUUGAGAUGGAAAAGAGGAUAUUUUAAAGGCUGGUAUAAGAUAAACCUCAAGGUAAGAUAUAGAGGUGAUAAGGAUAAAGGUGGUAAUGAUGAAAAGUAUAAUCCAUGGACAGAGUCGAGGCAAGACUCACGAAAUGGCAAGGUAGAGAAAACAAUCAAGGAUAAAAUGAGUGAGGUCCCGACAGAAGAGUUGAAGUAAAAAUUCAUUACCGAACAAAGUUACAAGGAAACAACGAGAUCACCAAGGAUGUGCGAAAUAAGAUGAAUGCUCAUGGAUCAUUGAGAAACAAGGGUGGUCAAGGGCAUGUAAGCUGAAAUGUUUUUGAACAGACAUUGGGGUAUGAAAAUAAGCGUACAUAAGAAUAUACGGGUAUGCAAGAUUCCAAGGAUACGAGCAUAUCAAUAACAAAAUGGAAUAGAGAUGGUCAAAUUGUAGCAAUUUAAUAAUGGAUGAGGAAAGAGUCCCAAAAGACUAAAGGCUAUGGUCAGGGGGCAUCUACAAAGAUGUCGCAAGCACAAGAUGAGAUCAGAUCUAAUAGAUUGAGAGAAGUAUAGACCAUACUAGAAUAAAAUAAUUUUUUUGUCAAGGGGCAUAUAGGAGCACAACAUAGAACUAGUCAAGGUGACUAAUAUUUUGAAGCAGAAUCAAGGAUGGGGUGAAGUAAUAACCAAUAAGUCCUUAAAACGGCCAAUGCUACUCUAGGUCAGCGGUCCUACAGUCAGCACGGCUUUGAUACCACUUAUGUCACACCCGGUUUCGAAGGUAAACCGAAUGCGAACCAUGUACGUGCCAGGAUCAGUAAUUCACGUACACAGCGAUUACAUAAAUGACUCAUCAUAGCACAAUGCUUCGAAUUACAAUAAAGAGUAAGUAAUAAUAUUACAAACUAGAGUCAUUUACAUAAUAUAAAUCAAAGUACACAGAAUCGAAACGUAGCCAACGUAAACAACCCACCACAGGCAGCUGACUGGGGGAGGUCGCUAGCCUAAUCCUCGAACUCGUCGACGUCCUGGAACUCCUGGAGAUCCGCCUCGACGCCUUGUUCUUUACCUGAGCAUAGAUUGCACCAAAGGCAACCUGGUGUUUUGUGAAAGCAAGGGUGAGUACACAUCAACGUACUCAGCAAAUGUCCUGUUUGGCUGAAGUGGACUAGCUUUAUGAGGGGUUAGGCUCCAGCAGUUGCUUUUAGUUGGUCAGGUAUUUAUUAUUAAUGGAAGCCAUGUUUUAUCAUAUAACCAACCUGUGAACCAUUUCCCCAUCGAGGAAACCUCAUUAUCAUCAUCGAACCGAAAUAAUAAAAAGAACCAUUGUAUCUCGAACCAUCUGUAUCUCUAAUCAAAGAGGAUCCCAAGGCCGCUCUUAACCGUGAGCACGGCUGAUAUAUCAGUUUCAUUCCCUCUGCAGAGGUCGCACACUUUACCCACAAGUCGUGAUUCCCAUUCUGCCCGGAGAUCAUGACUCUCCAUUGAUCACUACCAAGGUGACCUAGCAGGGUCUCACUACGUAGCCUUUACAAAGAUUCCCUAGAGGUCAUAGCCGCCCGUUAGGUUUCUCCAGUUUGAUAAACACAGUACCUCUCCCCGAAGGAGGGUGACUAACAAAAGCAAAACGAAAGAACCUCGGCACCCAGCCUCGGCAGAGCAAGCACUGUGCCUGGACCCCAUUGACGGCACGACGGCGAAGCAACUACACCUCUAGUUACUCUAAUUAAUUAGCUAAGGGCAUCCCAUUUCACCCUCAUGGUUGCACUGUUAUCCCGGGUGGUCUCUCAACGAACAGGUCCUUACGGAGAGGUACUCGGGAAACAGCCCGAGUCCCCUAAAUGCCACAAGUAUAUCAUCAUGUCCAGAAUAAAAUCAUAGUAUCAUCAUUGUAUCUCAUCAUGUUCAUUGAUUAAAGUAAAGCAAUAGCAUGAAGCUAACCAUAGUAACCCAAAAGGUAAUCAAGGACAAGGUAAAUAGAAAGCUAGUCAAUCCUUAGGUUGAUCAUGGUAUGCGGGUUGAUGAAUUAUAAAGUAAAUUGGACAUAAUAGGUCAGAG
rnacentral:lncRNA from 1 species